CAAAGAAAAAGUGUGAUUUUUCAAGGAAUCAAGUGUUUAAAGGUGGUGAGCUAUCUGAUACGGGUAAAAGACUACACCCGAGGACCGAGAAUAGGAGUAUAUCUACUCCUAGUACAGCUCAGAAUAGGCAAUAGACUGUCAAUUGCAUCGAGAAGU